GAUGAACGCUAGCGGCAGGCCUAAUACAUGCAAGCCGAACGGCAAGCUUUGUAGCAAUACGGAGCCUAGAGUGGCGUAAGGGUGCGUAACACGUACGCAAUCUACCCUCAACAGGAGAAUAGCUCCCCGAAAGGGGAAGUUAAUGUUCCAUAGGAUCAUGGUGCGGCAUCGCACAGUGAUUAAACCGCAAGGGGUUGAGGAUGAGCAUGCGCAUGAUUAGUUAGUUGGCGGGGUAACGGCCCACCAAGACGAUGAUCAUUAGGGGAACGUGAGAGGUUGA
rnacentral:rRNA from 1 species